rnacentral:rRNA from 1 species
GAUGAACGCUGGCGGCGUGCCUAAUACAUGCAAGUCGAGCGAACAGAUGAGGAGCUUGCUCCUCUGACGUUAGCGGCGGACGGGUGAGUAACACGUGGAUAACCUACCUAUAAGACUGGGAUAACUUCGGGAAACCGGAGCUAAUACCGGAUAAUAUAUUGAACCGCAUGGUUCAAUAGUGAAAGACGGUUUUGCUGUCACUUAUAGAUGGAUCCGCGCCGCAUUAGCUAGUUGGUAAGGUAACGGCUUACCAAGGCAACGAUGCGUAGCCGACCUGAGAGGGUGAUCGGCCACACUGGAACUGAGACACGGUCCAGACUCCUACGGGAGGCAGCAAUAGGGAAUCUUCCGCAAUGGGCGAAAGCCUGACGGGGCAACGCCGCGUGAGUGAUGAAGGUCUUCGGAUCGUAAAACUCUGUUAUUAGGGAAGAACAAAUGUGUAAGUAACUAUGCACGUCUUGACGGUACCUAAUCAGAAAGCCACGGCUAACUACGUG